rnacentral:rRNA from 1 species
UUGGAGGGCAAGUCUGGUGCCAGCAGCCGCGGUAAUUCCAGCUCCAAUAGCGUAUAUUAAAGUUGUUGCAGUUAAAAAGCUCGUAGUUGAAUUUCGGGAUCAAGGGAUCGGUCAUGCCUUGGUAUGUACUGGUUUUAUUGGUUCUCACCUUCUAAAGAACCAUGAUGUCAUUCAUUUGAUGUUAUGGGGAAUUAGGACUGUUACCUUGAAAAAUUAGAGUGUUUAAAGCAAGCUUACGCUUGAAUACAUUAGCAUGGAAUAAUGAAAUAGGACAUCAGAUUCUAUUUUGUUGGUUUCUAGGAUCGAUGUAAUGAUUAAUAGGGAUAGUUGGGGGCAUUAGUAUUCAAUUGUCAGAGGUGAAAUUCUUGGAUUUAUUGAAGACUAACUACUGCGAAAGCAUUUGCCAAGGAUGUUUUCAUUAAUCAAGAACGAAAGUUAGGGGAUCGAAGACGAUCAGAUACCGUCGUAGUCUUAACCAUAAACUAUGCCGACUAGGGAUCGGAUGAUGUUAAUUUUUAAUGACUCA